UCUCUAUAGUUUCAGUCAACCCCUCAAAAGUCUUAUAAAUCCUUCUAAACUCACCACCAACUGACUUUUUGAAGAGCUUAUAAUCACUAGCCAUGUCCCAUUCACUUUCAUCAUCACUAUCCACCAUAUUUUUGUAUUUACUCAUCCUGCCUUAAAUCAAUAAAGAACAAAGAGAACUAGCAAAUAUGGUGUUAGAAAUAAAA
rnacentral:lncRNA from 1 species